rnacentral:rRNA from 1 species
UACGUAGGGGGCAAGCGUUGUCCGGAUUUAUUGGGCGUAAAGAGCGUGUAGGCGGCCAGGUAGGUCUGUUGUGAAAACUCGAGGCUCAACCUCGAGACGCCGAUGGAAACCAUCUGGCUAGAGUCCGGAAGAGGAGAGUGGAAUUCCCGGUGUAGCGGUGAAAUGCGCAGAUAUCGGGAGGAACACCUAUGGCGAAGGCAGCUCGCUGGGACGUUACUGACGCU